AGAGUGAACGCUGGCGGUAGGCCUAACACAUGCAAGUCGAACGGCAGCACAGUGGUAGCAAUACCAUGGGUGGCGAGUGGCGGACGGGUGAGGAAUACAUCGGAAUCUACCUUUUUCGUGGGGGAUAACGUAGGGAAACUUACGCUAAUACCGCAUACGCCCUUCGGGGGAAAGCCGGGGACCAGCAAUGGCCUGGUGCUGAUAGAUGAGCCGAUGUCGGAUUAGCUAGUUGGUGAGGUAAUGGCUCACCAAGGCGACGAUCCGUAGCUGGUCUGAGAGGAUGAUCAGCCACACUGGAACUGAGACACGGUCCAGACUCCUACGGGAGCAGCAGUGGGGAAUAUUGGACAAUGGGCGCAAGCCUGAUCCAGCCAUACCGCGUGGUGAAGAAGGCCUUGGUGUAAAGCCCUUUGUUGGAAAGAAAGCAUUCGGUUAAUACCCGGUGUUCUGACGGUACCCAAAGAAUAAGCAACCGGCUAACUUCGUGCCAGCAGCCGCGUAAC
rnacentral:rRNA from 1 species